rnacentral:rRNA from 1 species
GUAGGGAAUAUUGGGCAAUGGGCGAAAGCCUGACCCAGCGACGCCGCGUGGAGGAUGAAUGCCUUCGGGUUGUAAACUCCUGACACCUGUUAGGAAAGCUUUCCUGUAAACAGCAGGGAAGUAUGACAAAGGCAGGCGAUGAAGUCAUGGCUAACUCUGUGCCAGCAGCUGCGGUAAUACAGAGAUGACAACCGUUGUUCGGAAUCACUGGGCUUAAAGCGCAUGUAGGCGGAGAUUUAAGUCAUAUGUGAAAACCCCCAGCUUACCUGGGGACGUGCAUGUGAAACUGGAUUUCUUGAGGCCGGUAUGGGAGAGUGGAAUUCCUGGUGGAGCGGUGAAAUGCGUUGAUAUCAGGAGGAACGCCGGAGACGAAGGUGACUCUCUGGGCCGAGUCUGACGCUGAGGUGCGAAAGCCAGGGGAGCAAACGGGAUUAGAAACCCCGGUAGUCC